GGGGCGAGCGCAGGAUCCUGGGCUGUGUCCCCCGCGCCCUGGGACCCCGGGUCUGCGUCGCUGGGAUCGCGCUCUGGGCCACGCAGCCCCCU
rnacentral:pre_miRNA from 1 species